rnacentral:rRNA from 1 species
AUUGAACGCUGGCGGCAGGCCUAACACAUGCAAGUCGAGCGGAUGAGAAGAGCUUGCUCUUCGAUUCAGCGGCGGACGGGUGAGUAAUGCCUAGGAAUCUGCCUGGUAGUGGGGGACAACGUUUCGAAAGGAACGCUAAUACCGCAUACGUCCUACGGGAGAAAGCAGGGGACCUUCGGGCCUUGCGCUAUCAGAUGAGCCUAGGUCGGAUUAGCUAGUUGGUGAGGUAAUGGCUCACCAAGGCGACGAUCCGUAAUUGGUCUGAAAGGAUGAUCAGUCAAACUGGAACUGAGACACGGUCCAGACUCCUACGGGAGGCAGCAGUGGGGAAUAUUGGACAAUGGGCGAAAGCCUGAUUCAGCCAUGCCGCGUGUGUGAAGAAGGUCUUCGGAUUGUAAAGCACUUUAAGUUGGGAGGAAGGGCAGUAAGUUAAUACCUUGCUGUUUUGACGUUACCGACAGAAUAAGCACCGGCUAACUCUGUGCCAGCCGCCGCCGUAAUAC